UAAUGAGAAAAUUGGUUGGAGUGAACCUAGAGCGUACCAUCGAUAUUAUCUUCACCAUGUUGCUAGUAAUUUCAAUACGAAAUAUAAAUCAAAACAACUAAAAGAUUUGGUGUUUAAGGUAAGAAAUCAACACCAAAGGCGCAAGUUCAUUCGGUGCAUGAAAGAAUUAAAAUAAUUGAACCCUGAAUGUCUUGAAUAUUUUUCAGAUAUUAACUUGGAAAAAGUGGACCCAAUCACAUGACGGUGGGUACCGCUAUGGGUGGAUGACAAGCAAUGCAGCUAAAUGCAUGAAUGGUGUUUUCAAAGAUGCCAGAAUGUUACCAAUUACUUCUUUGGUUAUGCUAACAUUUUAUCGCACAAUAUUGUAUUUUGAACGUCGAAGACAAUAAAUUAGUGAAGUACUCGAACGUGGGGAUAUGUAUACAGAAUAUGCCUUGAGAAAACUUAAGAGGUGGGAAAAACGAGCAUCUGUGCAUACAGUGACAUCUAUUGGCAAGGAAAGUCAAACUUUUGAAGUAGAAACUGACAUAAGUAUGAUUUCUCCCUAUAAAGGACAACACACACAAGUUUUGAGCUUGAAAGAAGGAAAAUGUUCUUGUAAUUAGUAGCAGUCAUUCAAGAUUCCAUGCUCUCAUGUAAUUGCAGUUUGUACGUAGGUAUGCACGAGCAUACAUUAUGCAGCUUAUUGAAGGAUUUUUGUUCGCUGACAAGUCAAAUACUCUAGUGCAUCUCAUGUUCCUCCCGCUACUGGCUGAUUUUGAGCAUGUCGUGGGGUGGUGCAUGUCUUACAUGGUUGUAUAGAGAUCUUUGUCGGGCUACCAAUGCACAAGUGUUGGAAAUAGCGGGGCCACUGAUACUACUACAGAUGGAGUGGUAUAUUAGCUGCCUCUGACCAGUCAGCAAAUAUGUUGCUAGUAUACCGAAAAAUAUUUGAUAGACUGAUGCACAAUCAGAUUAAUUGGACGCCAUACACACAACAGAUUUGGUCAUCACUAUCUGAUUACUGUCGUGAUGGUGAAGACAUUGGUUGACCGUUGGCCCUCUUAUAUGCUUCCAUAUAGUAGAGUGGCAUCAUCCAGAUCAGAUGUUGAGACAGUUUGGUCUGCGAAAAACGAUAUCUUCGUUGUCCUAUACAUUUUCAGUACUACACCAGAUUGAUUUGAGAGGUAAGCACGACCAAGAAUGACGUCGAAUCCACCCGGAAUAUAUAUCAUACUGGCAUGGAUGACAUGAUCGUUGUGUACAGGGAGAAAUAACAAAUAGGCCAACUGUAUCAGAUGACUACUUUUUCUGGUAUGAUUCAAUCACGAGGCGAUUAAUCACACCUGAUGGCGCCUUACUAUUACUGUAUGAUAAGAGAUUUAAAAUUAGA